AAGGUGUUUCAAAAAUGUACUGAGUAAAGGGUCUGAAUACUUAUGUAAAUGUGAUAUUUCCGCUUUUUAAUUGUAAUAAAUGUGUUUAAAAGUUUUUGAUUUGUCAUUUUGGUGUGUUGUGUGUAGAUUGAUAUGGGAAAAAGUCAAGGGGUCUGAAUUCUUUCUGAAUACACUGUAUCUGUCAUUGUUUGUAUUUACAGGGCAGCUGUUACAUGCGCCGAUAGGCAGCCUUGCGAACCAGGGCUGAUAUGGCUGACUUUAUAGUUAACAUGAGUCUACUCUCCCAGGCUGUGUCACAGCUGAACGUCACCGGGAGCGGCGUAAAAUUGGCACAGCGUCAUCCGAGUUGGUGGUUGACCUGUUGCGCUCUAGCAACUCCUUGUGGCGGACCGGGCGUCUGUAAACUGACUUCAGUCGCCAGCUGGAUUGGUAAGGCUGGCUUCCGGGUUAAGUGAGCAGUGUGUCCAGGACCAGUGCGGCUUGGCAGGGUGGUGCUUCGAAGGACGCAUGGCUCUCAACCUUCUCCUCUUCCGAGUCCAUAGGGAAGUUUCAAUGACGGGACAAGAUCUUAGCUACCAAUUGGAUAUCAUGAAAUUUGGGAGAAAAGGGGGUAAAAGUAACACAAAUACAUACAGUAUAUAAAAUACUAAAAAAUAACAUGAGUCUACACCAGACUCUGUGGAUUUGUGUAGCUCUAAGAACGGCGUUCUCCUUUAGUAGACUUUCUGGAAGGUUCUAUAUUUAUUUUCUUAGUCAACCUUGUGUUCUGUUUCAUUGUGUUCUUGAACGUAGCCCUGUUUCUUUGUGUUCUUGAACAUAGCCCUUUCUUUCAUUUUUGUUAAUUGAUUUCACCUGUGUUAGUUACUCAUUUAGUCUCAUCAGCUCCUUAUUUAGUUCAGUUCAUUCUGUUUGUGCCUUUGUGAGGUAUUGUUCGUUUUGACUCUACUAAGCCUUUUCCUAGCUCGUUUGUGAGAACCAGUUCUCGCCUCCAGUCCUAGUUUUGAUUCAACUGCCUGUUUGCCUACCUGUGUAUGACCAUUGCCUGCCUGUGACCACGAUUCCUGCCUUCUGUGAAGGCGAAAUAAACACCUGCCGCGCUCUGCA